UACGUAGGGUGCGAGCGUUGUCCGGAAUUAUUGGGCGUAAAGAGCGUGUAGGCGGCCAGGUAGGUCAGCUGUGAAAACUCGAGGCUCAACCUCGAGAUGUCGGCUGAAACCAUCUGGCUAGAGUCCGGAAGAGGAGAAUGGAAUUCCCGGUGUAGCGGUGAAAUGCGCAGAUAUCGGGAAGAACACCCGUGGCGAAGGCGGUUCUCUGGGACGGUACUGACGCUGAGACGCGAAAGCGUGGGGAGCGAACAGG
rnacentral:rRNA from 1 species